rnacentral:rRNA from 1 species
CUGCCUAUACAUGCAAGUCGAACGAGCUUCCGUUGAAUGACGUGCUUGCACUGAUUUCAACAAUGAAGCGAGUGGCGAACUGGUGAGUAACACGUGGGGAAUCUGCCCAGAAGCAGGGGAUAACACUUGGAAACAGGUGCUAAUACCGUAUAACAACAAAAUCCGCAUGGAUUUUGUUUGAAAGGUGGCUUCGGCUAUCACUUCUGGAUGAUCCCGCGGCGUAUUAGUUAGUUGGUGAGGUAAAGGCCCACCAAGACGAUGAUACGUAGCCGACCUGAGAGGGUAAUCGGCCACAUUGGGACUGAGACACGGCCCAAACUCCUACGGGAGGCAGCAGUAGGGAAUCUUCCACAAUGGACGAAAGUCUGAUGGAGCAAUGCCGCGUGAGUGAAGAAGGGUUUCGGCUCGUAAAACUCUGUUGUUAAAGAAGAACACCUUUGAGAGUAACUGUUCAAGGGUUGACGGUAUUUAACCAGAAAGCCACGGCUAACUACGUGCCAGCAGCCGCGGUAAUACGUAGGUGGCAAGCGUUGUCCGGAUUUAUUGGGCGUAAAGCGAGCGCAGGCGGUUUUUUAAGUCUGAUGUGAAAGCCUUCGGCUUAACCGGAGAAGUGCAUCGGAAACUGGGAGACUUGAGUGCAGAAGAGGACAGUGGAACUCCAUGUGUAGCGGUGGAAUGCGUAGAUAUAUGGAAGAACACCAGUGGCGAAGGCGGCUGUCUAGUCUGUAACUGACGCUGAGGCUCGAAAGCAUGGGUAGCGAACAGGAUUAGAUACCCUGGUAGUCCAUGCCGUAAACGAUGAGUGCUAAGUGUUGGAGGGUUUCCGCCCUUCAGUGCUGCAGCUAACGCAUUAAGCACUCCGCCUGGGGAGUACGACCGCAAGGUUGAAACUCAAAGGAAUUGACGGGGGCCCGCACAAGCGGUGGAGCAUGUGGUUUAAUUCGAAGCUACGCGAAGAACCUUACCAGGUCUUGACAUCUUCUGCCAAUCUUAGAGAUAAGACGUUCCCUUCGGGGACAGAAUGACAGGUGGUGCAUGGUUGUCGUCAGCUCGUGUCGUGAGAUGUUGGGUUAAGUCCCGCAACGAGCGCAACCCUUAUUAUCAGUUGCCAGCAUUCAGUUGGGCACUCUGGUGAGACUGCCGGUGACAAACCGGAGGAAGGUGGGGAUGACGUCAAAUCAUCAUGCCCCUUAUGACCUGGGCUACACACGUGCUACAAUGGACGGUACAACGAGU